rnacentral:rRNA from 1 species
GCGGCGUGCAUAACACAUUCAAGUCGAACGAGGUAGCAAUACCUAGUGGCGGACGGGUGAGUAACGCGUGAGCAACCUGCCCUUGUGUGGGGGAUACCGUCUGGAAACGGACGUUAAUACCGCAUAACGUUAUGGAAUCGCAUGGUUCUGUGACCAAAGAUUUAUUGCGCAAGGAUGGGCUCGCGUCCGAUUAGAUAGUUGGUGAGGUAACGGCCCACCAAGUCUACGAUCGGUAGCCGGACUGAGAGGUUGAACGGCCACAUUGGAACUGAGAUACGGUCCAGACUCCUACGGGAGGCAGCAGUGGGGAAUAUUGGGCAAUGGGCGAAAGCCUGACCCAGCGACGCCGCGUGAAGGAAGAAGGUCUUCGGAUUGUAAACUUCUUUUAUUAGGGACGAAAACUGACGGUACCUAAUGAAUAAGCCACGGCUAACUACGUGCCAGCAGCCGCGGUAAUACGUAGGUGGCAAGCGUUAUCCGGAUUUACUGGGUGUAAAGGGUGUGUAGGCGGGAUGGCAGUUCAGGAUGUGAAAACUAUGGGCUCAACUCAUAGCCUGCAUUUGAAACUGUCGUUCUUGAGGGUCGGAGAGGUAACUGGAAUUCCGUGUGUAGCGGUGAAAUGCGUAGAUAUACGGAGGAACACCAGUGGCGAAGGCGGGUUACUGGACGAUACCUGACGCUGAGACACGAAAGUGUGGGGAGCAAACAGGAUUAGAUACCCUGGUAGUCCACGCUGUAAACGAUGAAUACUAGGUGUGGGGAUCGUAGGAUUUCCGUGCCGCAGUUAACACAAUAAGUAUUCCACCUGGGGAGUACGGCCGCAAGGUUGAAACUCAAAGGAAUUGACGGGAGCCCGCACAAGCAGUGGAGUAUGUGGUUUAAUUCGACGCAACGCGAAGAACCUUACCGGAGCUUGACAUCCUGGGAAAGCCGAGUAAUGUUGGCUGUGCCCUUCGGGGAACCCAGAGACAGGUGGUGCAUGGUUGUCGUCAGCUCGUGUCGUGAGAUGUUGGGUUAAGUCCCGCAACGAGCGCAACCCUUAUGUUUAGUUGCUACGCAAGAGCACUCUAGACAGACUGCCGUUGACAAAACGGAGGAAGGUGGGGACGACGUCAAAUCAUCAUGCCCCUUACGCCCCGGGCUACACACGUACUACAAUGGUGAGAACAAAGAGAAGCGAGACCGCGAGGUGGAGCUAACCUCAUAAAAAUCAUCCCAGUUCGGACUGCAGGCUGCAACCCGCCUGCACGAAGUUGGAAUUGCUAGUAAUCGCGAAUCAGCAUGUCGCGGUGAAUACGUUCCCGGGCUUUG